UACGUAGGGGGCUAGCGUUGUCCGGAAUCAUUGGGCGUAAAGCGCGUGUAGGCGGUCCGGUAAGUCCGCUGUGAAAGUCGGGGGCUCAACCCUCGGAUGCCGGUGGAUACUGUCGGGCUUGAGUACGGAAGAGGCGAGUGGAAUUCCUGGUGUAGCGGUGAAAUGCGCAGAUAUCAGGAGGAACACCAAUGGCGAAGGCAGCUCGCUGGGACGUGACUGACGCUGAGACGCGAAAGCGUGGGGAGCAAACAGG
rnacentral:rRNA from 1 species